UUAAUGAUAAUAUAAUUCUCUCCCUACCAUUGUGAGUGGAGUUCAAAUGCUCGAAUAUAUUUUUUUCUCCAAAAAAAAAAGAUAACCAAAAUACAUCAUAAUUUAGGGUUUGUUGGAAGUUUAAGUUCACAUUUAUAGUGCACCGUAGAGGCCAACCAAGUAUGGUUAGAAAUUUGCACCAAUUAAAAGCAAGACUUCUAUCUCCCCACACAAUGAGAUAUAUCUACUCUUACUAAUGGUGGGGAGACAUAUGUUUACUUAAGGGUUGGCAUCAUGGGCGAAAACUAAAAACUUUAGUUACAGGAGGUUGGAGUAAAUAAUUUCUAUAUAGUUUAGAGAUAUUUUUUUAUUUCUAUUAUAAUUUAGGGGAUAUCAUGUAUGUUUAAAUUUUUACAAGAGUCAUGGUCCACUCUAGUCUCCAUUAAGAUCCGCCUCUGGUUGGUAUAGCCUAGGUUUGGUAUGUUUGAGCUGAGGCCGAACCUAAACCGAGGUUGAGAAUUUUUGAACAUGUGGCCAACUAAUUGGGAGGGUCUAAGUUACGUUAAACAUAACUUAGUGCCUGCCCAACUAAUUAUAUGCAUACAUCAAGCCAAAUCAAACCAAAAAUUUCGGUUUGGUUUGAUUGAGUUGGUAGGUAUGGGCUUGGCCUAAGAAAUAUUGUGGGCGUACAUUUUUUUAAACAGUUUAGACUUUUUUUUUUGAAUAAUUUUAAGUUAUCGUUAGUUCAUUUUCAGGUGCAUAUUUAAAAUGCAUUGGUAAUUUAAGAUUUACUAAAUAAAUAUGAUUAACU
rnacentral:lncRNA from 1 species